UUACCAGUGGCGAAAAGCUUGCAGUACACAGAGGUGAGCACAGACUAGCUGCCUCCAGUCUUCAUCCAGGCAGGAGGAACUUAUAACCCAUAAAUUCCUUCUUGCUGGGCUAGAUGGAGACCUGUACCAGAGGUAUGUAGCUUUAAUCUAGCUUGGUGCCUAGACACAAUCCUAGGCAAAAACCAAUGGCUCUGUGCACAGCCUUGCCACUCCAUCGAUGCAGGGUUCCCAGCCUGUGGCGCGCACAUCAUUUCCUCAUCAGCAUCUUGAGAAAGGGCUGUAAGGGUUGUCCAAAAUGCCCAGUGCUGCACUCUGCUAUGCAGGCGUGACUCAGGCAUUCAGGAGCUGCUGUAGCAGCGCAUGCACAGAUGCCUUCUGCCCGGACCAUGCAGAUGCACAACCCAACCAUGCAAUGUGCAUAUCAGAGCCCUGUUUCUGCGUGUGGUCAAUGCCAGGUAUCUGGCUACGGAUUCCUAGUGACCCACAGGACCUGCAACCUGCCCCAGGUGCAGGGAGUGCUUCUCCAAACAUAGCUGUGCACAUCUCCAUGCCUCCCAUCUGACAUCUGCAACAUGGCAAAACUAAUGCUGAGCCUCAUCCUGGGAGUCCAGGCGGCAUACUUCAUUUUUUAUGUAACUUAUUAUGAGAACUCUGAAUAAAAGGCACAAUUAAAA